AUGGCUUCAAGGUUACUUCGUGGAGCUGGAGCACUGGCUGCGAAGGCCCUGAGGGCCUGUGGUCCCAAUGGGGUGGCCGUGGUGUGCUCCAUGGCAUCUGGAGGUGGUGUUCCUAUUGAUGAUGAGCACACGACUGGAUUGGAGAUGGAGGUCAUGAUGGUUGCAGGGAAGGGACUGGACCUAUACAGUAUAUGACCCCCAAAGGCAGCUUCAGGCACCAAGGAAGACCCUAAUUUAGUUUCCUCCAUCACCAACAAGAGUAUAGUGGGCUGCAUCUGUGAAGAGGACAACUGUGCUGUCAUCUGGUUUUGGCUGCACAAAGGCGAGACCCAGCAGCAAUGCCCUAGCUGUGGAACCCAUUAUAAGCUGCUGCCCCACUAGGUGGCCCACUGA
rnacentral:lncRNA from 1 species